rnacentral:misc_RNA from 1 species
UACGGGAGGCAGCAGUGGGGAAUUUUGGACAAUGGGGGAAACUCCUGAUCCAGCCAUCCUGCGUGUGCGAUGAAGGCCUUCGGGUUGUAAAGCACUUUUGGCAGGGAAAGAAACGGCACGGGAGUGCUGGCACCUCGCGCAACUGACGGUACCUGCAGAAUAAGCACCGGCUAACUACGUGCCAGCAGCCGCGGUAAUACGUAGGGUGCAAGCGCGAAUCGGAAAUAUUACUGGGCGCAAGCGUGCGCGCAGGCGGUUCGGAAAGAAAGAUGUGAAAUCCUGCAGAGUUUAACUUUGGAACUGCAUUUUUAACUACCGAGCUAGAGUGUGUCAGAGGGAGGUGGAAUUCGCGUGUAGCAGUGAAAUGCGUAGAUAUGCGGAGGAACACCGAUGGCGAAGGCAGCCUCCCUGGGAUAACACUGACGCUCAGCGCGCGCACGAAAGCGUGGGGAGCAAACAGAUUAGAUACCCUGGUAGU